UACGGUAGGGGCAAGCGUUGUCCGGAUUUAUGGGCGUAAAGAGCGUGUAGGCGGCUAGGUAGGUCCGUUGUGAAACUACGACGGCUCAACCUCGAGACGUCGAUGGAAACCAUCUGGCUAGAGUCCGGAAGAGGAGAGUGGAAUUCCUGGUGUAGCGGUGAAAUGACGCAGAUAUCGAGGAAGAACACCCGUGGCGGAAGGCGGCGUCCUCUGGUACGUGACGUGACGGCUGAAGACGCGGAAAGCGUGGGGAGCGAACAGG
rnacentral:rRNA from 1 species